AGCGAACGCUGGCGGCAGGCCUAACACAUGCAAGUCGAACGAAGUCUUCGGACUUAGUGGCGGACGGGUGAGUAACACGUGGGAACGUACCUUUUGGUUCGGAACAACUCAGGGAAACUUGAGCUAAUACCGGAUGAGCCCUUAGGGGGAAAGAUUUAUCGCCGAAAGAGCGGCCCGCGUUAGAUUAGCUAGUUGGUGAGGUAAAGGCUCACCAAGGCUAUGAUCUAUAGCUGGCCUGAGAGGAUGAUCAGCCACACUGGGACUGAGACACGGCCCAGACUCCUACGGGAGGCAGCAGUGGGGAAUCUUGCGCAAUGGGCGAAAGCCUGACGCAGCCAUGCCGCGUGAAUGAUGAAGGUCUUAGGAUUGUAAAAUUCUUUUACCAGGGACGAUAAUGACGGUACCUGGAGGAAAAGCCCCGGCUAACUUCGUGCCAGCCGCCGCAGUAAAAC
rnacentral:rRNA from 1 species